rnacentral:lncRNA from 1 species
AGCACAAUGGCUGGCACUCUAAGGAAGCCGGACUCAUCCCGUGCAGGCCGCAUACACACUCCACUGCCCUUCUGGCCAAAGAAGCCCGGACACGGGAGAGGGAUGGGAGUCGGGGAUGCCUAGCGGCGGGGAGGGAAGGGAUAGGCAAAAGGGAAGAAGAGCGGGCUGUGAUACCCCCUCGACGCCGUCAAACACUGCUCCCCGCGCUCCAGAGCCCGGGGCCCACCCGACGGCAGCGCGCCCCGCCACCGCGCGGCCGCCCCGGUCCCUUCUCCCGCCCGUCUGUAGUAAAACAAUCGCUCUCCCGGCGUCUGCGGCCGCUGCCAGCGGUUCUGACACUGCAGGAAUGCGCGGUCUGGGGAAGGCUCCGCACUCUGGGGAGGGGCACGAGCGGGGUCGGGGAAGCUCCAAGAUGAAAGCGUGCAAUAACUACCAAUAUGGAUACCUCGCAGGGCCUGACACUAGCUUCUGGAUAAAAUGCAGGCGAUGGCUGCUGGCGGAUGCCGGCAGACACACUCAAAGGCCCUCUUGGACUUUCCGAGUUUCCCAUUCUCCUCUACUGGAGGCUGAGGCGGGCAGGCCCAGCGACGUCUCCCAGCCCCAACUGGGUUCGGACCUCAAGCCAAAAAUGAGGGGCCGGCAGGAGAGCUUUUCUCGCCCAAAGAUGCUGGGUGGAAGCCGGAUCCAGCUGAAAAAUCUGAGUGAGAAGGUUUCAGGCCCAGGAGGACUUGAGAUAAUACAGGAAAAUUCAAGAGGCUGAAAUGAGAAGGGUCCCUGGGGUCUUGUGAAAAAUUAUUAAUUUAUCUUGUCUACUGUGCAUAGGCCUGUGCUUAUAGAAGUUGUCAAUAAAAAGUCUAAUAAUUCAUGAAUACACACAACUAAGAGCACAAGAACUGUAAUUAUCGAAGGAAGGCACUGGAAAAAGCAUGUUGGCUUGGAGAACCCCAAGUACUUUUGUCUGAUGGCAAAGUACCUCUGGGCUGAACUGAGGACUUCAACCUGGAAGGGGCAGGGAGCUUCUCUUUUGCUCGUUUAUGCAUUCAUUCCACAGACAUUUCAACCAUGAGAAGGAUGGAAACAGGAAUAAUGUCCCAAUGAGAUGAGAAGAAGCAUUGGCCUAUUUGCCUUUGUGGGAGCAAGAGACAGAGGAUGUCUUCCUGUAAGAAAUCAUAAGGCCAGGCAUGGUGGCUCACACCUAUAAUCCCAACAUGUUGGAAAGCUGAGGCAGGAGGAUCAUUUGAGGCCAGGAGUUCAAGACCAGCCUAGGCAACAUAGUGAGACCCCAUCUCUAUUAAACAAAAAUUAGCCAGGCAUGGUGGCCCAUCCUGGUAGCCCCAGCUACACUGGAGGAUGAGGUGGGAGGAUCGCUUGAGCCCAAGAGGUUGAAGCUCCACUCCAGCCUGGGUGACAGCAAGACCUUGUCUCAAAAACAAAUAAAUAAAUAAAUAAAUAAAUCACAAAGAGUAGCUGGUUAAAAGAUCCCUAGAUCCCCUUUCUUGGGAUCAUGCCCAGUUUUGUGACCUGGGGUUAGUUAACUUCCUUGUGACUCAUUUCCUCAUGUGUAAAAUGAAGAAAAUAAUAGUGCCUGCCGGGCGCGGUGGCUCACGCCUGUAAUCCCAGCACGUUGGGAGGCCGAGGCGGGCGGAUCACGAGGUCAGGAGAUCAAGACCAUCCUGGCUAACACGGUGAAACCCCGUCUCCACCAAAAAUACAAAAAAUUAGCCGGGCAUGGUGGCGGGUGCCUGUAGUCCCAGCUACUCGGGAGGCUGAGAAUGGCGUGCACGCAGGAGGUGGAGCUUGCAGUGAGCCAAGAUUGCGCCACUGCACUCCAGCCUGGGUGACAGAGCAAGACUCCGUCUCAAAAAAAAAAAGGAAAGAAAAUAAUAGUGCCCCACUCUGUUGUGGCCUGUUGUGGCAUUCAAGGAGUGAAUAUAAGUAAAGUACUUCCAGAUUUAUUAGAAGGCACUAUAUGUAUGUAUGUGUGCAUAUAUAUAUACACACACAUAUAUAUGUCCCAUAUAUGUCUCAUAUGUAUGUCCCAUAUAUAUGUGUGUGUGUGUGUGUGUGUAUAUAUGUAUAUAUGUAUGUCUUAGCUAAUUUGAAGCCAUCUUUUGUCUAGAUCUUCAGAGCAUGGGACAAACAGAUUUGAGAGAAGCUUGCGAAGUACUGAAAGUGAUAAAGAACUUGGUCUUGAGCUGGUGACCUUGUGAGUUAUCCUCUCUGUACCUCAGUUUUCUCAUCUGUAAAAUGGAGAUGCCAAUAUCUGCUGUUGGAUGCCAAUAUCUACUACAAGGUUGUUGUUAUGCAUAUUAAGUAAUAUAAUGCAUGCAAAAUGCUUAGCACAGUGCCUGGCAUAUAAUAAGUAACCAAUUAGUGGAUUCUCUUGUUAUUUUUGUGAGGCUAUGAAGAAACUGAAAGCUGAGGACAGGUAGCCUAGGCUAGGUACCUAGGUACCUAGGAUGAGAAAUCCUUGAACAUGAGCCCAGUUAUUCUGCCAGCAAACACUUAUUUUAUUGUAGUAAGAUAUAUGUAACAUAAAAAUUACUAUUUUAACCAUUUUUAAGUGUACAAUUCACUGGUGUUAAACACAUUCACAUUGUUGUGUAACCACCACCACUAUUCAUCUACAGAAAUUUUGUUACCCAAACAGAAACUCUGUAUCCAUUAAACACUAACUCCCCAGUACUCCCUUCCCCAGCCCCUGGUAACCACUAUUCUAAUUUUGUCUCUAAGAAUUUGACUAUUCUAAGUACCUCAUAUAAGUGUAAUUAUACAAUAUUUGUUUUUUGUAUCUGACUUAUUUCACUUAGCACAAUGUUUUCAAGGUUCAUCUAUGUUGCAACAAUGUCAGAAUUUCUUUUCUUUUUAAGGUAAAUAAUAUUCCAUGGUAUGUAUAUACUACAUUUUGUUUAUCUAUUCAUCUGCCCAUGGACAUUUGGGUUGUUUCCACCUUUUGGCUAUUGUGAAUAAUGCUACUAAUCUGUCAUGGGAUUAGAGUGAGAAAGAAAGAAUAAAAAAAUAAUGCUGCUAUCAA